rnacentral:rRNA from 1 species
UACGGAGGGUGCAAGCGUUGUCCGGAUUUAUUGGGCUUAAAGGGUGCGUAGGCGGCUUUAUAAGUCCGUGGUGAAAGCCAACAGCUCAACUGUUGAACUGCCAUGGAUACUGUAAGGCUUGAGUACAGACGAGGUAGGCGGAAUGGAUGGUGUAGCGGUGAAAUGCAUAGAUACCAUCCAGAACCCCGAUUGCGUAGGCAGCUUACUAGGCUGUAACUGACGCUGAGGCACGAAAGCGUGGGGAGCGAACAGG